UUAUAACACCUGUAAAGCGUGAGUGAUACAUGUAUAGUUAAAAGUCGCAGUGCUGUUAUACUCUACUCCAAUCAAAUUACUUCGUCGUAUUAUAAAUACUUGUGAACAUUUUCAGUUCUUUCCGAACUUUUACUUGCGUUUGCUUUUAGUAACAUUCAAAAUGCUUUUGACGGUGCGUUAUCUGCUGUUAUUGAGCCAUAUCAAUAGAUUGCACAGUCGCAGCCCUGAGUUCUGGUUGCUCCGUGGUAUUGACGGAUGCACUGAGGAAUCCAGAGUGUACAAUUCCUUCUAUCAUCAUUUAAAGAGAAACCACAUUCAACACUUACUUGAAGGCACCCGAACAGAUGAACAGCCAUCGGAGGAAAACCAAGUACAACCGGAACAAGUAUUUAGUAAGCAUUUUUUUUUUCUGGAUUUACAAAAAUAAUUUUAUUAACCGACGAUACACGGACCAAAGUCAUACUAUCCAUAGGCUAUACGAUAUUUUUUUUGCUAUAGUGACUCUUAUGGCUAAAGCUGGAUUAAUGUGAAAAUAAUCAAUGAUAAAUAGGAACAAAACACUUAAAUAGCUCUUGUUGAAACUAAAUACAAUUUCAAAUAAUAAUAUUUUUUCUUUGUGUGGUACACAGGACAACAUUCAACCUGAUCAGCUCCUAGCGAACUCUUGCAUCAGUGAUCAGCAACUCCAUACAUCUGACUCAGGUGAAGGGCAAAGGGGCAUUGACCAACAUGAAGCUGUCACAGUGCAACAAGUAAGGAUCUGACAACACAUGCCACUGCUUUUGUGAUAAAUGCCAGAGCCAAGCAUCGUCUCACACAGAAAGGUGUGAAUGACAUUGUCGCUGGGGUACAGCAGUAUCAAUCAUCACUAUUGGACAACCUCAGGAGGCAGUGCUGAAGAAGCAUUCAGGAAGCACAUCAGGUCAACUUGGAAAAAGAGAAACCAAAGGCUUUGCAGAUUGUUCUGUACACGGAUGAAAUGGAGAUCUGUAAUCCACUAGGAUCCUUUGCAUCCCCCAGAAAACAAGUUGUUAAUGGUGUACUACACCCUAGGAAAUAUAAAUCCAAAAUACAGGUCUAAACUGGCUGCUAGCAGGCUACUUUGGCAUGGCUAGAUCAGCAGACCUCCCUCAAUCUGGUGGAGAUGUAAUAUUGAAUAGAAUCAAGGAAGAGAUGGAUGCAUAUGUAACCGAUGUGAAAUGGCUAGCUAGGUAGCGGUGGUGCGCGCUAGCAGCCUUUCAGUCGGUGACGUCACUUGCUCUGAAACCUUGAAGUAGUGGUUCUCCUUGCUCUUUGCGAGUGCCGCGGCCUUUGUGGAGCGAUGGGUAACGACGCUUCGUGGGUGACUGUUGAUGUGUGCAGAGGGUCCCUGGUUCGCGCCCGGGUCGCGGCGAGGGGACGGAUUAAAGUAAAACUGUUACACAUUGUACAGUGGGGUUAAAAUGCAAACUAUUAACGGAGAGAAAACGAUAUAUGGUGCCAUGGUCUCUCUCUCUGUGGAGACACCCUGACACAACAUGAACUAGCAGGGUUCAAAGAGGGUUUGUGGGCUUUGCGUGGGCUUUGCCUACAGGAAGUGCAGACACGGUGAGUCUUCUUUUAAGGACAUACAGUCACUUUUCAAUAAGGAUGCAUAUAUGUAACAGUAUAGCUUCCGUUCCUCUCCUCGCUCCGACCUGGGCUCGAACCAGGGACCCUCUCUGCACACAUCAACCACAGUCACUCACGAAGCAUAGUUACCCAUCG